CGAUACAGUUUAUUACACUUUUUUUUUAGCUUGAUCUGGUCAGAUCUCAGAAGAUAAGCACGUCUGGGCCUGGUCGGUACUGGAACGGGAGACCUCCAGGGAACACCAGGCUGGUGUACGU
rnacentral:rRNA from 1 species